GAUGAACGCUGGCGGCGUGCUUAAUACAUGCAAGUCGAACGAGAAACUUUUGUCUUCGGAUGGAGGUUUUCUAGUGGCGAACGGGUGAGUAACGCGUUGGUGACCUGUCCCGAAGUGGAGAAUAACAGUUCGAAAGGACUGCUAAUACUUCAUGAUAUCAAUUGGAUUAGAUACUUUUUGAUCAAAGGCGAAAGCCGCUUUGGGAGGGGCCUGCGUCCCAUCAGCUAGUUGGUAGGGUAAUGGCCUACCAAGGCAAAGACGGGUAGGGGACCUAAGAGGGUGACCCCCCACACUGGCACUGAAACACGGGCCAGACACCUACGGGUGGCAGCAGUAGGGAAUUUUGGACAAUGGGCGAAAGCCUGAUCCAGCAACGCCGCGUGCGCGAUGAAGGCCUUCGGGUUGUAAAGCGCUUUUAGAGGAGAUGAGAAAGGACAGUAUCCUCUGAAUAAGCCUCGGCGAACUACGUGCCAGCAGCCGCAGUAACAC
rnacentral:rRNA from 1 species